AAAUUGAAGAGUUUGAUCAUGGCUCAGAUUGAACGCUGGCGGCAGGCCUAACACAUGCAAGUCGAACGGUAACAGGAAGCAGCUUGCUGCUUCGCUGACGAGUGGCGGACGGGUGAGUAAUGUCUGGGAAACUGCCUGAUGGAGGGGGAUAACUACUGGAAACGGUGGCUAAUACCGCAUAACGUCGCAAGACCAAAGAGGGGGACCUUCGGGCCUCUUGCCAUCAG
rnacentral:rRNA from 4 species